rnacentral:tRNA from 16 species
GGUGGUCCAGUGGUUAAUACUCUGCGCUGCAAAUAUGCAGGCGGUGGUACAAAUCCUGGUUCUUG